rnacentral:rRNA from 1 species
AUACGGAGGGGGCUAGCGUUGUUCGGAAUUACUGGGCGUAAAGCGCGCGUAGGCGGAUCGUUAAGUCAGGGGUGAAAGCCCGGAGCUCAACUCCGGAACUGCCCUUGAUACUGGCGAUCUCGAGACCGGGAGAGGUGAGCGGAGUUCCUAGUGUAGAGGUGAAAUUCGUAGAUAUUAGGAGGAACACCAGUGGCGAAGGCGGCUAACUGGCCCGGUACUGACGCUGAGGUGCGAAAGCGUGGGGAGCAAACAGGAUUAGAAACCCCAGUAGUCC